rnacentral:tRNA from 1 species
GGAGAAGUGGCCGAGUGGUCGAAGGCACUCCCUUGCUAAGGGAGCGUACCUCAAAAGGGUACCGUGGGUUCGAAUCCCACCUUCUCCG